UACAGAGGGGGCAAGCGUUGUUCGGAAUUACUGGGCGUAAAGCGCGCGUAGGCGGACCUGCAAGUCGGGGGUGAAAGCCCGAGGCUCAACCUCGGAACUGCCUUCGAUACUGCGGGUCUCGAGUCCGGGAGAGGUGAGUGGAAUUCCUAGUGUAGAGGUGAAAUUCGUAGAUAUUAGGAAGAACACCAGUGGCGAAGGCGGCUCACUGGCCCGGUACUGACGCUGAGGCGGCGAAAGCGUGGGGAGCAAACAGG
rnacentral:rRNA from 1 species